rfam:Candidatus Liptonbacteria bacterium RIFCSPHIGHO2_12_FTLL_60_13 rifcsphigho2_12_scaffold_19215, whole genome shotgun sequence.
GCCGGCGUAGCUCAGUGGCAGAGCGAGGGACUCAUAAGCCCUAGGUCGCAGGUUCGAUCCCUGCCGCCGGCA